AGGGCCUGCAUUGGUGCUCUCAGUGCCCUGACAUCUGGGGCAAAAGAGGGAUUUUAAAUAGGCACUGCAAAGAAACUCCAAUCCACAGCUGCAAAGCCAAAAGGGCUCAUAUCUCAAAUUCUGCCCAAAGUACAGAUAUCAUUUCAGAACUUUUGCACCUUUCCCAAGCACUUGCUCUCCCUGCUGACCUGUGGCUGGGAUGCUGUGCACACCAACUCUGGGGAGGGACCCAAAACCUUCCAGCCACCAAGGCUGUGGUAGACAAUCACAGUCAUCUGCCCACACAUCGCUGCAUUUCCAGUUUUAGCAUGAUUGUUCUCAUAACCCCUCAUAAAACUGAGAGGAACAAAAGCAGCCCCAUAUGCUGCUGGUGUUUGUUAAGCACUGUGCCUUCUGCCAGGUCCCAUUGCUGCUUUGGGGUUCCUGGCAGCACUCUGCCAAUAGGAAGUGGAGUUGAAUUUUUCAGCUGGAGAUAAGUGUGACUAAUUGCCAUCUUCAAACAGCUCCUGCACUGAACUAAUCCCUGCACUGAGCACCUUGUUUUAUUAAUGCUGGCAUCCAAGGGCAGUGUGGAAGAGUGACAACAUUCACCUCAGCAGAAUCAGCUCCUCUAAGUGCAGGUCCAGCCUGUCUUUGCCAUCCUUGGACACAUCUGCUGGAGGACAGAACCCAGAAGGAAGGACAGUCUGCAGAUUUCUCUACAGGCAAUCACAGAACUGGCUUUUCCUGCGGUGCUGGUGCCUCUGUGUUACCCUGUGCAAGACACGUGUCAGAACUGUCCCCCUCCUCCAGAUACACCAAGCAAGACAUUAGGAAUCUAUUCCUUUAUGCUCUGAAACAUCUAAAGACUUGCAAAUAGUCCCAGAAAUAG